rnacentral:tRNA from 1 species
GCUUUUCAAGCCACAGAUCUUGGAGAGAGGCCGAGCGGGAAUU